AAAGAUAGAUGUCAAUGGUCAUAAAGAAGGCUCGGCUCAUCUACUUGCAAACAGGAAGUUGUACAACAAAUGCAAAAGUAACGUACUCCAUUUAAAUAAAUUGUAUACUCUUCGGUCAUGAUUUUGAGAAGAAAAGAGUAGCAAUUAGUACUUUGAAGAGCUAUUAUCCAAUACAUAAUUUAAACUGCAGCCUUCAAAACUGCACAGGCACUUGAAAUGCAUGCUGGCAUAAAUGCAUCUGGUUUUCAAAAUGUUCUUUGAGAGGAUUCUCUUAGGCUGGCAGCGCUGAUGCCCGGUUUUCCGUAUCAGCUCACGUGGACGCCGUAUACUGACUACGUGGACACAACUGAAAGCAGAGUGCGGUCCAGGUUCUUCCCGGACGGGUGCGCUUUGUUACAUCACACUGGAGGCGACAGUGACACUGAAAUCUUACGUGGCAUGAUGCCCUGGUCCACCAGCUGUUCUCUCGUCCUCCUCUGUUGGAGCCUCAGCUGGAGCACUGUGAAAAGGAAAGAUCACCACUGAGUUUAUCGGCAACUGCAGGUGCCAACUAGCGGAUCCCGGAGGAGAUACAACUACGCUUUAUUAAACCCCUUCUACUUCAUAAGCGAGUGAGGAUAAUACCUGGCACCGUCCAACUUGUAAAAAGAAAACCGAUUUGUAGUUUCUGCCAGUUUGGUGAGCUCGGAAGUUCCCUUGGCUUCUUUUUUGUUUAGUUAGUUCAUAAUCUUAAUUUGAUGAAUAUAGCUAAGUAUUUGUUGUUUAAAUACAAUGACAACAUACUCUGCAAAUAAACAAAAAUAGUUGGCUUAUA